rnacentral:tRNA from 1 species
CAAAUUAGAGCUUGUUUAGAAAAGCAUUUUAUUUACAUUAAAGAGUUGUCGUGCGAUUCGAUUUAAUUUGA